rnacentral:rRNA from 1 species
CCUACGGGUGGCAGCAGUGAGGAAUAUUGGUCAAUGGGCGUAAGCCUGAACCAGCCAAGUCGCGUGAGGGAUGAAGGUUCUAUGGAUCGUAAACUUCUUUUAUAAGGGAAUAAAGUGCGGGACGUGUCUCGGUUUGUAUGUACCUUAUGAAUUAGGAUCGGCUAACUUCGUGCCAGCAGCCGCGGCAAUACGGAGGUUCCGUGCGUUAUCCGGAUUUAUUGGGUUUAAAGGGUGCGUAGGCGGCCUUUUAAGUCAGCGGUGAAAGUCUGUGGCUCAACCGUAGAAUUGCCGUUGAAACUGGGAGGCUUGAGUAUGUUUGAGGCAGGCGGAAUGCGUGGUGUAGCGGUGAAAUGCUUAGAUAUCACGCAGAACCCCGGUUGCGAAGGCAGCUUUCCAAGCCAUGACUGACGCUGAUGCGCGAAAGCGUGGGGAUCAAACAGGAUUAGAUACCCUUGUAGUC